UUGAGUGAGUUUAGAUGAUAUCCUGGAGUAGAUACUAUAAAAAGACUUUGUAUUGAAUUCCUUAUGAACAUAUCAUAUCUUAGUUUGGUUUAACUUUGAUAAGGACUUUUUCUUUUUCUUCUUUGUGUCUCUAGCAGCUGCACAGUGUCUCAAAUGCAGUUGGCCCUUCAUAAAUGUUUGCUGAAGUGAGGUGACAUACAGGAAAUCGAGGAUGGGUCGAUAAGUAUAAUCUUCUCCAGUGGGUGACACUUCCAGCUCCUUCCCUUCCCUGCACAGACAGCAAUCUCUCUCUGAAUCUACAAUUGGAUGACUCCAUACAUUAUUCGUGGCAAGCAGGGAUGCUGAAUCAUUUAGAGUUCAACUAGUCUCAGAUUCAACACAAUGAUACACUACCUAAAACACACAGAAGAUGAGACUGCAUACAUCAUUGUCACAUGGUACAUUCGUUGGAAUGCUUGUGAAUGAGUCAUGACCAAAUGCAAUGAAACUCAGCUCAAGAAUGACAGAGGGACUUUUUUCCUAUUUUCUCCUAUGAGAGUCAUAUCCCAAAUGCAACAAAUAUCUGUUUACCUCCAGGUGGAGUUUAUGAAACAGCAAACAUUUAAGAUUAGUACCAAAAGACUUUAUGAGUGCCAUCCAUAUGAAAUCAAUCAACCAAUAACACGUAGACAAAGAAGUGUCAAACAAAAGGUUGAGUUAUGCAAACUUUUUUUUAAAAAAAAUGUUUUACAUACUUCUGAGAUCAAUAUAAGACCAUGUUAUUGCCAUAAGACAUUAUAGAGAGGUCAUCAUUAUUAAAGAGUCCAGACAGUGAUUGACACAGAUAAUAUAGCAAUGUGGUAGAAACUGUAACUUCUCAUGAAAGGUUAUAACUGUUAGCAUCUAUAUAUAUUAAAUAUCUAAAUACUGUCCCCAUGUGGGUUACCUUCCUCCUCUCAUCCCCCAUGCCAGUACCCCUAUAUGUGUUAUCUUAGAAUAGAAGCUCUUUCAAAACAGGACUA